AUAAUGAUACUCCCGUCUUGAACGCGUCACUGCAUUGGGCGGCUGUGCGAGACCCGCACGGAGGUGGAAGUCCUGUGA
rnacentral:ncRNA from 1 species